CUCCCCUUUCUGUGUCCAUGUGUUCUCAUUUUUCAUCACCCACCUAUGAGUGAGAAUAUGCGGUGUUUCAUUUUCUGUUCUUGUACUUAUUUCUUUAUUAAUCUAUUCUCUUAAAAAUAAUAUGUUGUUCCUUCAUGAAGUAAUUAGCUUUUUCUUUCCCUAUAUUUCAAAAUCAAUGAUUUUCUUUAGGGUGACUUGUAUCACACAGGAUUUUAAACUAACAAAGAUUAUUCCUCAGAAUAGAAACAUGAUCUGAACAUAUAUUUUUGUAUUUGUCAAUAUUUGCUCUGGACUAAGAUUGCUUUAGUCAGAGAUCAUCCCCGUUCUUUUGCCUUUCAUUUUUCUUUUUCCUUUGAAUAGUUCCCCACAGGAGUUGGGAGACAAGCUUCUUUUUUCUCUGGCUGUAAAGCUAUUGAAGAUAAGUCUGGACCUCUUGGAGGAUGAAGUUUUACUCUGUGGAGUACACUGGUUUAAAACCAAAAUCAAAAGAAGGAAGAUACGGAGCAAGAGAGAAAGAGGAUGAGACCACAAGUCCUGGAAUAGGAAAAUCUCUGCCUGAAGAGCCUUGCUUCGUUACCAGGCACCAGGCUGAAGUGCAGUGGCACAAUCUCGGCUCACUGCAACCUCCACUUCCCGGAUUCAAGCAAUUCUUCUGCCUCAUCCUCCCGAGUACCUGGGACUAGAGGUAUGUGCCACCAUACCCAGCUAAUUUUUGUAUUUCAGUAGAGACAGGGUUUCACUAUGUUGGCCAGGAUGGUCUUGAUCUCUUGACCUCGUGAUCCACCCGCCUUGGCCUCCCAAAGUGCUGGGGUUAUAGGUGUGAGCCACCUCACCAGGCUUGUUCAGUGUUUACUUUUAACAGUUCAAUAGUAUUAAGAAUGUUUACAUUGUGUAUGUAGCUCACUUAUUUGAAUUCUUGCAAAUGUGGUGUAUCUAAAC
rnacentral:lncRNA from 13 species